GGGGGGUACCAGAGUUUGAGAACUUCAGUAUGGGGAGGAAUUAGCCAGAGAGGAAGGGAGAGGAAUAUUCCUCUAAUGGAACACACACAGCACAAUCACAGAAGAGGCUGAGAGUGUUUACGAACCUGCAAGUGAUUUCUUGUACCUGGAGGGUCCUCUGUGUGUUUCAAGGGAUGAGACAAGAUACACCGGUGGGGCCAGGUGGUUCCUAGAAUGGUGAUGCCAAGUACAGGAAGUAGAAGAGAGUCCAAAGCUGCUUUGGGAAGCCUUCCUUUAACUCAUGCUAUGAGAAGUUGGGUGGCCUAGGUUCAGAACCAGGGUGCGUCUCUAAUGCUGUGCAAACUCGGGUGAAUCCUCUCUGGCCUGUGAGCAUCUUGAGGGCAAAAAUUAUCUCAUUUAUUCCAGAAUUCACAGAUUCAAGCAAGGACCUGUCACAUAAGAAAUGCUCGAAGUAACUAAGCUGAAGCUGAUGUUUACCGUCCCGGGCAUGUGUCAUCUUCUAUUUAUGCAUGCAAAACCUGCAAGUCUAUUGUUACAUAUAUUUCAAAAGUUUAUAUAAAUGGUAUAAUACUGUACACAUUUCUUUGCCAUUUAUUUUUUCAUUCCAUAUUUAUGUUCUGGAGAUUUACCAUAUUGGGAACAUGUUGAUCUAGUUUGUUCAUUUUAACUGUGAUAGAUGAUUUCAUUGUGUUUAUAAAGCAGCUUAUUUUCCUGUUCUCUUGCUGAGAGGCAGUUAGACUGCUCCUCACUUUUCUAUCACAUACUAAGAUGUGGUGAAUAUCCUUGACCACAUAUCCUUUUGCACAUGAAUAUGAGUUUCUCCAGGGCUUCCCAAGUGGUGCUAGUGGUAAAGAACCCACCUGCCAAUGGAAGAGACAUAGAUUCAGGUUCGACCCCUGGGUUGGGAAGAUCCCCUGGAGGAGGGCAUGGCAACCCACUCCAGUAUUCUUGUCUGGAGGAUCCCAUGGACAGAAGAGCCACAGUCCAUAGGGUCGCAAAGAGUCAGACACAACUGAAGUGACUUGGCAUGCACACACACCUGAGUUUCUCUAGGAUGCAUGGAAAACACUCUGGGUUCUGCACCCAGAUUCUAUGACCUGCAGGUGCAACUCAUCCCCCAGCUGCUGUGAGUGCUGGCUGCUAGGGAUUCACAGCUGCUCACAGCUUCUUGGGAACUUCUUUAUUCAGGAAGUUAUAAGUUACCCACCACCUUGCCCCCUACAUUGGGCAGCCCACAGUCAAUGACUGAUGGAUACAGCCAAUGACUGAUGGAUAAGUCUUAUCCGUCAAUGACUGAUGGAUAAGCCAAUGACUGGUGCAAAAGCCUGGCCUCUUUGCCUCAAGGCAGAUUCACUCUGCAACGUUACUAAUGCUUCAGAGCUCCCCAUGGGGUCAGAUUGAAGAUAAUCUCCAGCUGAGAACCUACCAUCACUUAACAUUUCUUCCUAUCCUAUCUGCCUGACCCUCUCUCUCCACCUGAGAGUCCUCCCUCUAGAAACCACCUGCACAAGGAUCUCGGGCACUGCUUAGGGGACCUAACUUCAGACAGGCACACACCUAACCUAAGGCAGAGCCACUGUGUCUCAGAUUUGCUCAUCUUAAAACGGUUUCCAAAUUGUUCUCCAAAGUAGUUGUACCAAUUUACGUUCCCACCAGCAGUUUACAAACAUUGCUGACCGCCCCCACCCACCACACUCAUCUAUUCCAGUGUUAUAGACUAAUUUUGCCAAUCAGAUUGUGUAAUAUGCUAAUUUUUGUUUUAAUUUGCAUUUCCGUGCUCACUAGUGAUAUUGAGAAUCUUGUUACUAUCUUUAUUGGCGUUCAAAUUUCUUCCCCUGUUAUUUGUCUGUUCACAUCUUUUGUCCAUUUGCUUACUGCUUUGGAAUGUCUAUGGUAAAUUGAUUCUUUGAGGCUUAAAUUUUUUAUUUUGGAGACUAAUUCUCUCUUGGCUGGUUAUCCAAGUUGAAAAUACCUUCUGCCAGCUGUGGCUUUAACAAAUUUGCUUAUUUUUUUGUCAUGUAGACAUUUUUGACUUUAAGGAAAUAAGAUUUAUCAUUUCCUUUCAUUUGUGUUUGUGUCUUAUUUAUUUUCUACUCUGAGAUC
ensembl:lncRNA